CUUGGUCAUUUAGAGGAAGUAAAAGUCGUAACAAGGUCUCCGUAGGUGAACCUGCGGAGGGAUCAUCGCACAAUAAACAUAUGAAGGCUGCACCGCCAACAGGCGGCAAGGCUGGAGUAUUUUAUUACCCUUGUCUUUUGCGCACUUGUUGUUUCCUGGGCGGGUUCGCCCGCCUCCAGGACCACAUGAUAAACCUUUUUUAUGCAGUUGCAAUCAGCGUCAGUACAACAAAUGUAAAUCAUUUACAACUUUCAACAACGGAUCUCUUGGUUCUGGCAUCGAUGAAGAACGCAGCGAAAUGCGAUACGUAGUGUGAAUUGCAGAAUUCAGUGAAUCAUCGGAUCUUUGAACGCACAUUGCGCCCUUUGGUAUUCCAAAGGGCAUGCCUGUUCGAGCGUCAUUUGUACCCUCAAGCUUUGCUUGGUGUUGGGCGUUUUUUGUCUUUGGUUUUGUCCAAAGACUCGCCUUAAAACGAUUGGCAGCCGGCCUACUGGUUUCGCAGCGCAGCACAUUUUUGCGCUUGCAAUCAGCAAAAGAGGACGGCACUCCAUCAAGACUCUAUAUCACUUUUGACCUCGGAUCAGGUAGGGAUACCCGCUGAACUUAAGCAUAUCAAUAAGCGGAGGA
rnacentral:rRNA from 1 species